CAGGCCUAACACAUGCAAGUCGAGGGGUAACAGGGAGCUUGCUCCGCUGACGACCGGCGCACGGGUGCGCAACGCGUAUGCAAUCUACCUCUUACUAAGGGAUAGCCCAGAGAAAUUUGGAUUAAUAUCUUAUGUGAUAUUAGACUGGCAUCGGUUUAAUAUUAAAGGUUACGGUAAGAGAUGAGCAUGCGUCUCAUUAGUUAGUUGGUAAGGUAACGGCUUACCAAGACUUCGAUGAGUAGGGGUCCUGAGAGGGAGAUCCCCCACACUGGUACUGAGACACGGACCAGACUCCUACGGGAGGCAGCAGUGAGGAAUAUUGGACAAUGGACGGAAGUCUGAUCCAGCCAUGCCGCGUGUAGGAAGACUGCCCUAUGGGUUGUAAACUACUUUUAUACAGGAAGAAUAAGAUCUACGUGUAGAUUGAUGACGGUACUGUAAGAAUAAGGACCGGCUAACUCCGUGCCAGCAGCCGCGGUAAUACGGAGGGUCCGAGCGUUAUCCGGAAUUAUUGGGUUUAAAGGGUCCGUAGGCGGGCUGUUAAGUCAGAGGUGAAAUGCUGCGGCUCAACCGUAUGCACUGCCUUUGAUACUGGCGGUCUUGAGUUAUAGUGAAGUGGCUAGAAUAAGUAGUGUAGCGGUGAAAUGCAUAGAUAUUACUUAGAAUACCGAUUGCGAAGGCAGGUCACUAACUAUACACUGACGCUGAUGGACGAAAGCGUGGGUAGCGAACAGGAUUAGAUACCCUGGUAGUCCACGCCGUAAACGAUGGAUACUAGCUGUUCGGUUUUCGGACUGAGCGGCCAAGCGAAAGUGAUAAGUAUCCCAC
rnacentral:rRNA from 1 species